rnacentral:lncRNA from 1 species
UGUGAUUUGUCGAUAAUGACAUUUGUUCAACUAUUAGCAUCUAAGCGGGCAGAGAAGAUCUUUGAAAAAAAUUAGCUUCGGUUGUCUCUAUCCAUCUAUUGGUGGCUUAUGGAGGAGGACCUAGUGGAAAAUAUUAAAGUCUCUUUUGAGGCAAUAUUGAAGUGGGACUCACGAUGUUUGAGAGGACAAAUGCAUCAAUUUAAUUGAGUAGGACUAAAGUUCACUGCAGUUUAGGCAAUACAAAUAAUGGAACCUGUCUCUUAAAGCAGGGGAUUGAUGAUCUCCAGAGCUGGGGAA